rnacentral:rRNA from 1 species
UACGUAGGGCGCAAGCGUUGUCCGGAAUUAUUGGGCGUAAAGAGCUCGUAGGCGGCUUGUCACGUCGGAUGUGAAAGCCCGGGGCUUAACCCCGGGUCUGCAUUCGAUACGGGCAGGCUAGAGUGUGGUAGGGGAGAUCGGAAUUCCUGGUGUAGCGGUGAAAUGCGCAGAUAUCGGGAGGAACACCGGUGGCGAAGGCGGAUCUCUGGGCCAUUACUGACGCUGAGGAGCGAAAGCGUGGGGAGCGAACAGG